GACGAACGCUGGCGGCGUGCUUAACACAUGCAAGUCGAGCGGUAAGGCCCUUUCGGGGUACGACGAGCGGCGAACGGGUGAGUAACACGUGGGUGACCUGCCCUCAGCUCUGGGAUAAGCCUGGGAAACCGGGUCUAAUACUGGAUAUGACUCCAUGACGCAUGUUGUGGGGUGGAAAGCCUUGUGCGGCUGAGGAUCGGGCCCGCGGCCUAUCAGCUUGUUGGUGGGGUGANGGCCUACCAAGGCGACGACGGGUAGCCGGCCUGAGAGGGCGACCGGCCACACUGGGACUGAGACACGGCCCAGACUCCUACGGGAGGCAGCAGUGGGGAAUCUUGCGCAAUGGGCGAAAGCCUGACGCAGCGACGCCGCGUGAGGGAUGACGGCCU
rnacentral:rRNA from 1 species